AUUAAUCAGUUGCAUGAAUCUUUGUGAUCCUAGCUGGUAAUUUGCAUGAUCUCUUUAUGUUUUGACAGACCAGGAGCUUGUCCUUCCCACCAUCCGCAGUGCUGUUGAGAAACAGCUAAGUCUCAUUGCUGCAGGCAAAGCUGAUUUUCCACCAGUCCUAGAGCAUGCCCUAAAUAUCUUCAAGAGAAAAUUCCAUUAUUUUGUGGACUCCAUAGCUGGUAUGGAUGAAUUAAUGGAGGUGUCAUUUUCUCCAAUUGCUGAGACAGGGAAGCCUCUGUCCCGCUGUGGCAGAUGUCAUCGAUUCAUGAAGUACAUUCAGGCUAAACCCAGUCGGAUGCACUGUUCCCAUUGUGAUGAUACCUACAGCUUACCCCAGAAUGGGACCAUCAAACUGUACAAAGAGCUUCGCUGUCCCCUUGAUGAGUUUGAACUGGUUCUCUGGUCAUCUGGUUCCAAGGGAAAGAGUUAUCCACUGUGUCCAUAUUGCUACAAUCACCCACCAUUCCGUGAUAUGAGGAAAGGUAAGAUCUGUCAAAUACAA